rnacentral:misc_RNA from 1 species
AAGUCGUAACAAGGUUUCCGUAGGUGAACCUGCGGAAGGAUCAUUAUCAAAUUUAAUUAUCCAAAACCUGGGUAUCUCUCCGCAAGGGGAGGUACUCUAAACCAAACGUGAACUGUUUUGCCUCUGAUUGACAUUUCUUGAUGUAAAAAAAAUUGUAGUUCGGUUUUCUGAAUUACUUUUUUUUCGUCAGUCAGAGUGUAUUUUUUUACAUCAUACUUUUAACCAAUUGAACCGUUAAUAUUUAUAUUAUUGAAUUGUUUGGAACUGAAUUUGUUUCUUACCCAUUCAUUUGGGAAGAUAACAUAAUUUACGAAACAAUAAAAAAUAUAACUCUUAGCAACGGAUAUCUUGGUUCUC